rnacentral:rRNA from 1 species
GAGUUUAGUGGCGGACGGGUGAGUAAUGCAUGGGUAACGUACCCCAGGCACAGGGAUAGCGGUGCGAAAGCGCCGGUAAUACCUGGUGAUAUCCGGGAGUCGCAUGGCUUCUGGAUCAUAGGUGGGGACCUUCGGGCCUACUGGCCUGGGAUCGGCCCAUGUCCUAUCAGCUUGUUGGUGGGGUAAUGGCCUACCAAGGCGAAGACGGGUAGCCGGCGUGAGAGCGCGACCGGCCACAUCGGGACUGAGACACUGCCCGGACACCUACGGGUGGCUGCAGCAACGAAUAUUCCGCAAUGGGCGCAAGCCUGACGGAGCGACGCCGCGUGGAGGAUGAAGUCUUUCGGGAUGUAAACUUCAAUAGUUUGUCAGGAAGCAAAGGGACCUAAUACGUCCCGGCGUUGACCAGCGAACGAAAGGGGCGGCUAACUCCGUGCCAGCAAGCCGCGGUAAGACGGAGGCCCCUAGCGUUGUUCGGAAUCACUGGGCUUAAAGAGGGUGUAUGCGGAGCAGCAAGUACUUUGUGAAAGCCCACGGGCUCAAACCCGGGAAUUGCUUGGUAUACUGUUGCUCUUGAGGCAGGUACGGGUCACUGGAACCUUACGUGGAGCGGUGAAAUGCGUAGAUAUCUAAGGGAACGGCCUGUGGCGAAAGCGGGUGACUGGGCCUGUCCUGAC